UUGAAUUCCAUAUUCCAACUCUGCCUACCAACAGAAAAACCACUCUGUUCUGCAGCAUAUGAAUGCCUAAAUUCCAUCUCUUCACAUCCAGUUCCUAUAGUUCUUGGAUCAAGAUGAGACGUGCCUGUUGGCAUUGCCUGACUAGUACCAACAGCGGGAGAAGUAACAUUUUGGUAAUGUUGUGAGGAACUUGAAUUGGAUCCAUAUGAGUUAGCAGGUUGUUCAUGUUUAUCAUAGUAAUUGGAAGGAGCUUUG
rnacentral:misc_RNA from 1 species